AAAACACACCACAAGAUGAAGAACAUGAUGGCAUAGACAGAAGACCUUUUACUGCAGUUUUUGCUCAAGGAUCUCCUAGCAAGUUCCUAUAUUCUAUUGCCACCACAACCCACAUAAAGGAGGACCUUGACUUCUUCAGGCUAUAUAUCAAGGCUUCAGUUUGAGGACCGCAGUCAGACUGCUGUACCCCUCUCUUUCAGCACAUGGCCGGAACACAGACUUCAGGAGAGGAAUAUGGGAUGAAAGUCUGCAUAAUCUCAGCACUCCCCGCAACAUACCAUGAGAAGGAGUGUUUCCAAAGGAAGAUAAAAUAAAACCAAUUGUGCAGAAUGAAAACCGGAUUAUGUCACUUGCAAAGCAACUCAUGUAGGAGGCAGUACUAACGCAGUGAUUCCUAGGAAAUCACCAGAUGAGGACGGACAUCUCCAUUCCCUGAUCUCCCUUAAGCAAUCUCAGCAAACUCUGAAUUGUCUUUCUGCAUGGUGAAGACUGCUCUGAGAAAAUGCAGCUCUCCCUCUGUAAGCUUGUCUUCACUGAGAGAACUCAAAGGUAACUUCAUGGCUAGAAACUCCUAUCUACUUUCCUACUUUCCUGAUCUCUUAAAGAAAUAGAUACUUAUUAAUAAUGUUUCCCCUUUCACUUCCAGGCAGGAACUGAUGCAGUGGAAUGGAGAGUUGUUUCCCUGGCAAAAAAGUGACUCUAGGAUCCCUAAGAUUACCUUAGCUUUAACCUCUUCCCCUUGCAAACCUAAAGCCCUCUCUGCUGAUAUUAUGGAGCCAUGCCUAUUUUUUAUUUUUUUUCUAAACAAUUUAUUCUUUAGAGGUAGUAAAUAGCAAGCUGUUUGGGACUGCCACCUUUGACAAUUCACCUAAAUUAUAGGAGGUGAACAAUUAGUGCUAGGUAUGUGCAAAAGUUUGGAUGUGGUUUCAGGCACUGAAGGUAGCACCUCCAUUAAGAAAGAGAACUGGAAAUUGCAGGCUCUGUUCAACAAAUUGAAGGCACGACUGGUUGCCACUAGCUGGUACUCAGACCAUCCUAAUGUAAGUGUCUAAACUCUUUCUCUCCCCAUUAGCUCAAGACAGAACCUACCUCAUUAAAAUAAACUUAAGUUGUGGUCAAAUAAACACAAGUAAACAUUUUGCAUUUUACAGUGAUUAUUUCAAGAAACCAAGCCUCCAUCAA